rnacentral:rRNA from 1 species
UUCGGCCGGUAGUAAAGUGGCGGACGGGUGAGUAACACGUGGAUAAUCUGCCCUUCGGCGGGGGACAACAGUCCGAAAGGAUUGCUAAUACCGCAUACGUCAGCGAGGUCUUCGGAUCUUGUUGGGAAAGAUGGCCUCUUCAUGAAAGCUAUCACCGAAGGAUGAGUCCGCGUCCCAUCAGCUAGUUGGCGGGGUAAUGGCCCACCAAGGCUUAGACGGGUAGCUGGUCUGAGAGGAUGAUCAGCCACACUGGAACUGAGACACGGUCCAGACUCCUACGGGAGGCAGCAGUGGGGAAUAUUGGGCAAUGGGCGCAAGCCUGACCCAGCCAUGCCGCGUGAGUGAUGAAGGCCUUCGGG